rnacentral:rRNA from 1 species
UCCGUAGGCGGGUAAUUAAGACAGAGGUGAAAUCCCACAGCUUAACUGUGGAACUGCCUUAGAUACUGGUUAUCUUGAGUUUUAGUGAAGUAGAUAGAAUGUGUAGUGUAGCGGUGAAAUGCAUAGAUAUUACACAGAAUACCGAUUGCGAAGGCAGUCUACUAACUAACAACUGACGCUAAUGGACGAAAGCGUGGGGAGCGAACAGGAUUAGAUACCCUGGUAGUCC